rnacentral:rRNA from 1 species
UUCGACACACUAUCAUUAACUGAAUCCAUAGGUUAAUGAGGCGAACCGGGGGAACUGAAACAUCUAAGUACCCCGAGGAAAAGAAAUCAACCGAGAUUCCCCCAGUAGCGGCGAGCGAACGGGGAGCAGCCCAGAGCCUGAAUCAGUAUGUGUGUUAGUGGAAGCGUCUGGAAAGGCGCGCGAUACAGGGUGACAGCCCCGUACACAAAAAUGCACAUGCUGUGAGCUCGAUGAGUAGGGCGGGACACGUGGUAUCCUGUCUGAAUAUGGGGGGACCAUCCUCCAAGGCUAAAUACUCCUGACUGACCGAUAGUGAACCAGUACCGUGAGGGAAAGGCGAAAAGAACCCCGGCGAGGGGAGUGAAAAAGAACCUGAAACCGUGUACGUACAAGCAGUGGGAGCACGCUUAGGCGUGUGACUGCGUACCUUUUGUAUAAUGGGUCAGCGACUUAUAUUCUGUAGCAAGGUUAACCGAAUAGGGGAGCCGAAGGGAAACCGAGUCUUAACUGGGCGUUAAGUUGCAGGGUAUAGACCCGAAACCCGGUGAUCUAGCCAUGGGCAGGUUGAAGGUUGGGUAACACUAACUGGAGGACCGAACCGACUAAUGUUGAAAAAUUAGCGGAUGACUUGUGGCUGGGGGUGAAAGGCCAAUCAAACCGGGAGAUAGCUGGUUCUCCCCGAAAGCUAUUUAGGUAGCGCCUCGUGAAUUCAUCUCCGGGGGUAGAGCACUGUUUCGGCAAGGGGGUCAUCCCGACUUACCAACCCGAUGCAAACUGCGAAUACCGGAGAAUGUUAUCACGGGAGACACACGGCGGGUGCUAACGUCCGUCGUGAAGAGGGAAACAACCCAGACCGCCAGCUAAGGUCCCAAAGUCAUGGUUAAGUGGGAAACGAUGUGGGAAGGCCCAGACAGCCAGGAUGUUGGCUUAGAAGCAGCCAUCAUUUAAAGAAAGCGUAAUAGCUCACUGGUCGAGUCGGCCUGCGCGGAAGAUGUAACGGGGCUAAACCAUGCAC